CAUCCUCCAAGGCUAAAUACUCCUGACUGACCGAUAGUGAACCAGUACCGUGAGGGAAAGGCGAAAAGAACCCCGGCGAGGGGAGUGAAACAGAACCUGAAACCGUGUACGUACAAGCAGUGGGAGCCCCACCACUAAGCCAGUGGUGAACUCCACAUACGCAUCCUUUGCGGAAGAUACGGUUAACGGAGCGAAAGCGACGUUCAACCGCAAAAGAAGCAGAGGGGGCUUAGUGGUGGGGUGACUGCGUACCUUUUGUAUAAUGGGUCAGCGACUUAUAUUCUGUAGCAAGGUUAACCGUAUAGGGGAGCCGGAGGGAAACCGAGUCUUAACCGGGCGUUAAGUUGCAGGGUAUAGACCCGAAACCCGGUGAUCUAGCCAUGGGCAGGUUGAAGGUUGGGUAACACUAACUGGAGGACCGAACCGACUAAUGUUGAAAAAUUAGCGGAUGACCUGUGGCUGGGGGUGAAAGGCCAAUCAAACCGGGAGAUAGCUGGUUCUCCCCGAAAGCUAUUUAGGUAGCGCCUCGUGAAUUCAUCUCCGGGGGUAGAGCACUGUUUCGGCCAGGGGGCCAUCCCGGCUUACCAACCCGAUGCAAACUGCGAAUACCGGAGAAUGUUAUCACGGGAGACACACGGCGGGUGCUAACGUCCGUCGUGAAGAGGGAAACAACCCAGACCGCCAGCUAAGGUCCCAAAGUCAUGGUUAAGUGGGAAACGAUGUGGGAAGGCCCAGACAGCCAGGAUGUUGGCUUAGAAGCAGCCAUCAUUUAAAGAAAGCGUAAUAGCUCACUGGUCGAGUCGGCCUGCGCGGAAGAUGUAACGGGGCUAAACCAUGCACCGAAGCUGCGGCAGCGA
rnacentral:rRNA from 1 species